CCUACGGGAGGCAGCAGUAGGGGAUAUUGCACAAUGGGGGAAACCCUGAUGCAGCGACGCCGCGUGGGUGAUGAAGUAUUUCGGUAUGUAAAGCUCUAUCAGUAGGGAAGAAAAUGACAGUAUCUGACGAAUAAGCACCGGCUAACUACGUGCCAGCAGCCGCGGUAAUACGUAGGGGGCAAGCGUUACCCGGAAUUACUGGGCGUAAAGGGAGCGUAGACGGUGAUGUAAGUCUGGUGUGAAAGCCCGGGGCCCAACUCCGGGACUGCUUUGGAAACUGUGUAACUGGAGUACAGGAGGGGCAGGCGGAAUGCCUGGUGUAGGGGUGAAAUGCGUAGAGAUCAAGAGGAACACUGGCGGCGAAGGCGACCUGCUGGACUAAAACUGACGUUGAGGCUCGAAAGCGUGGGGAGCAAACAGGAUUAGAUACCCCAGUAGUC
rnacentral:rRNA from 1 species